GACGAACGCUGGCGGCGUGCUUAACACAUGCAAGUCGAGCGGUAAGGCCCUUUCGGGGGUACACGAGCGGCGAACGGGUGAGUAACACGUGGGUGACCUGCCCUCAGCUCUGGGAUAAGCCCGGGAAACUGGGUCUAAUACCGGAUAUGGCUUCAUGACGCAUGUUGUGGAGUGGAAAGCCUUGUGCGGCUGAGGAUGGGCCCGCGGCCUAUCAGCUUGUUGGUGGGGUGANGGCCUACCAAGGCGACGACGGGUAGCCGGCCUGAGAGGGCGACCGGCCACACUGGGACUGAGAUACGGCCCAGACUCCUACGGGAGGCAGCAGUGGGGAAUCUUGCGCAAUGGGCGAAAGCCUGACGCAGCGACGCCGCGUGAGGGAUGACGGCCU
rnacentral:rRNA from 1 species